CUUUUUGCAUAAAAAAUCUACUUAUUUUGGGCUUUUACAAAAUCGGGUCACAUUUUUCGUUUUUACAAAUUCGGUCCGCUUUUUCAGCAAACUGAACAAAAUAUCCUUAUUACUUUUUCUCUUUCCUCUUUCUCUCUCCUCUUCGUUCUCUCGUUCUUUUUUUUUUCGCCGAAAAAAAAUAGCGAAGGCCAGGCGGGCGCGCCGCCGGAGCACCGCCAGGCGGGCUCUUCUUUUUCUUUUUCUUUCUGCAGAAGCAAUUUUUUUUUCUCUUUUUCUUUUUCUUCUUCUUUUUCCUCUUGCUAGAGCUUUUUUUUUUUUUCCCUCUUCUUCUUCUUCUUCUUCCUCCCGCUC
rnacentral:lncRNA from 1 species